GACGAACGCUGGCGGCGUGCUUAACACAUGCAAGUCGAACGGAAAGGCCCUGCUUGCAGGGUACUCGAGUGGCGAACGGGUGAGUAACACGUGGGUGAUCUGCCCUGCACUUCGGGAUAAGCCUGGGAAACUGGGUCUAAUACCGGAUAGGAGCCAUUUUUAGUGUGAUGGUUGGAAAGUUUUUUCGGUGUAGGAUGAGCUCGCGGCCUAUCAGCUUGUUGGUGGGGUAAUGGCCUACCAAGGCGGCGACGGGUAGCCGGCCUGAGAGGGUGGACGGCCACAUUGGGACUGAGAUACGGCCCAGACUCCUACGGGAGGCAGCAGUGGGGAAUAUUGCACAAUGGGCGCAAGCCUGAUGCAGCGACGCCGCGUGGGGGAGGACGGCCUUCGGGUUGUAAACUCCGUUCGCUAGGGACGAAGCUUUUUGUGACGGUACCUAGAGAAGAAGCACCGGCUAACUACGUG
rnacentral:rRNA from 1 species